GAUGAACGCUGGCGGCGUGCCUAACACAUGCAAGUCGAGCGGCAGCGCGGGGUGCUUGCACCCUGUCGGCGAGCGGCGGACGGCUGAGUAACGCGUGGGAACGUGCCCCAAAGUGAGGAAUAACUGCCUGAAAGGGUAGCUAAUACCGCAUAUUAUCUUCGGAUCAAAGGAUUUAUCCGCUUUGGGAGCGGCUCGCGUCGGAUUAGGUAGUUGGUGAGGUAAUGGCUCACCAAGCCGACGACCCGUAGCUGGUCUGAGAGGAUGACCAGCCAGACUGGAACUGAGACACAGUCCAGACUCCUACGGGAGGCAGCAGUGAGGAAUCUUGCACAAUGGGCGAAAGCCUGAUGGGGCAACGCCGCGUGCAGGACGAAGGCCUUCGGGUUGUAAACUGCUUUUAUAAGUGAAGAAUAUGACGGUAACUUAUGAAUAAGGAUCGGCUAACUACGUG
rnacentral:rRNA from 1 species